GCCUGGGUGGCUCAGUCGGUUGAGCGUCUGACUCCGGCUCAGGUCAUGAUUCAGUUCGUGAGUUCGAGCCCCACGUCGGGCU
rnacentral:tRNA from 1 species